rnacentral:rRNA from 1 species
AACGAACGCUGGCGGCAUGCCUAACACAUGCAAGUCGAACGAGACCUUCGGGUCUAGUGGCGCACGGGUGCGUAACGCGUGGGAAUCUGCCCUUAGGUUCGGAAUAACUCAGGGAAACUUGAGCUAAUACCGGAUAAUGACGUAAGUCCAAAGAUUUAUCGCCUAGGGAUGAGCCCGCGUAGGAUUAGCUAGUUGGUGGGUAAAGCCUACCAAGGCGACGAUCCUUAGCUGGUCUGAGAGGAUGAUCAGCCACACUGGGACUGAGACACGGCCCA